CCUACGGGCGGCAGCAGUCGAGAAUCAUUCACAAUGGGGGAAACCCUGAUGGUGCGACGCCGCGUGGGGGAAUGAAGGUCUUCGGAUUGUAAACCCCUGUCAUGUGGGAGCAAAUUAAAAAGAUAGUACCACAAGAGGAAGAGACGGCUAACUCUGUGCCAGCAGCCGCGGUAAUACAGAGGUCUCAAGCGUUGUUCGGAAUCACUGGGCGUAAGGCGUGCGUAGGCUGUUUCGUAAGGCGUGUGUGAAAGGCGCGGGCUCAACCCGCGGACGGCACAUGAUACUGCGAGACUAGAGUAAUGGAGGGGGAACCGGAAUUCUCGGUGUAGCAGUGAAAUGCGUAGAUAUCGAGAGGAACACUCGUGGCGAAGGCGGGUUCCUGGACAUUAACUGACGCUGAGGCACGAAGGCCAGGGGAGCGAAAGGGAUUAGAUACCCUUGUAGUC
rnacentral:rRNA from 1 species